rnacentral:rRNA from 1 species
AGUGAACGCUGGCGGUAGGCCUAACACAUGCAAGUCGAACGGCAGCACAGUAAGAGCUUGCUCUUACGGGUUGCGAGUGGCGGACGGGUGAGGAAUACAUCGGAAUCUACUUUUUCGUGGGGGAUAACGUAGGGAAACUUACGCUAAUACCGCAUACGACCUACGGGUGAAAGCAGGGGAUCUUCGGACCUUGCGCGGUUGAAUGAGCCGAUGUCGGAUUAGCUAGUUGGCGGGGUAAAGGCCCAGCAAGGCGACGAUCCGUAGCUGGUCUGAGAGGAUGGUCAGCCACACUGGAACUGAGGCACGGUCCAGACUCCUACGGGAGGCAGCAGUGGGGAAUAUUGGACAAUGGGCGCAAGCCUGAUCCAGCCAUACCGCGUGAGUGAAGAAGGCCUUCGGGUUGUAAAGACCUUUUGUUGGGAGAGAAAAGCAGCAGGUUAAUACCCCGCUGUUCUGACGGUACCCAAAGAAUAAGCACCGGCUAACUUCGUG